UGGGGAAUUUUGGACAAUGGGGGCAACCCUGAUCCAGCCAUCCCGCGUGUGCGAUGAAGGCCUUCGGGUUGUAAAGCACUUUUGGCAGGGAAGAAACAGCCUGGGAUAAUACCCCGGGCGACUGACGGUACCUGCAGAAUAAGCACCGGCUAACUACGUGCCAGCAGCCGCGGUAAUACGUAGGGUGCAAGCGUUAAUCGGAAUUACUGGGCGUAAAGCGUGCGCAGGCGGUUCGGAAAGAAAGGUGUGAAAUCCCAGGGCUUAACCUUGGAACUGCACUUUUAACUACCGAGCUAGAGUACGUCAGAGGGGGGUAGAAUUCCACGUGUAGCAGUGAAAUGCGUAGAGAUGUGGAGGAAUACCGAUGGCGAAGGCAGCCCCCUGGGAUGAUACUGACGCUCAUGCACGAAAGCGUGGGGAGCAAACAGGAUUAGAUACCCUGGUAGUCCACGCCCUAAACGAUGUCAACUAGCUGUUGGGGGCUUUAUUAACCUUAGUAGCGCAGCUAACGCGUGAAGUUGACCGCCUGGGGAGUACGGUCGCAAGAUUAAAACUC
rnacentral:rRNA from 1 species